CUAAUACUGACCUACAAUAAUUCAGCCAAGAUCACGUUUCUACUGUCUUCAGGAAAUGAGAAAAAUGAAUCCAGGAAAUUUCCAUCUUUAACUAUACUCUGUAAAUGUGCUGUCCAAUACACAGAUAGCUACUGAGCACUGGAAUAUAGCUAGUCUGAAUGGAGAUGUUCGGUUUGACUUUUUUGGACUCCACAUGUGUGAGAUCAUGCAAUAUUUGUCUUUCUGUGCCUGGCUUAUUUCACUUAGCGUAAUGUCCUCCAGGCUCAUCCAGGUUGUUGCAAAAGGCAGGAUUUUCUUCUUUUUUAAGGCUUGGAGAGUCAUUUGUUUUCAUAAGAGAAUCAUGCAUGGAAACUGUACAUGGACUUGGCAAUUAUGUGAGGGGAAUUUGCGUCCUCCAAAAGCAAUGCAGAUAGCGGAAGCGAGCAGUUAAAGUGAAAACAAGAUCACGGAAAAGGAGAUAUAUUUUGGUAGAUCCAAGAAUCUAUGUUUGAUAGAGUCUUCACAGAAAGAGUCGAAAUUGACAACAUGCUUAUUGCUUUGGCUUUGGAUGUUGGUUGGGAACAUGGUUCUUGAAUAUCCACACUUCAAAGUAGAUCUUACUUUUUGGAAGAGUAGAAAGCUCAUUACGUUGGUUAAUUUGAGAAGUAAGACAAGGGCUCAGAAAGGUACUAGUUAUUAGUACCUUAUACACUAGCCUGCCUGGCAUUCUUACCAUGACAGUGAAUUGUCAUGGUAAGAGUUGUGGUUUUAAACCUCUUUUCCCCAGAUGUUACAUGGAGUAAUAUAUGUAUCCACAUACAUAUUAAAGUAGGAGGUAGAUAUUAUAUUGACUGGUGACUUGAGGACAUGAUACACAAAAUAGGUAACGUUUGAUGAAGCUUGAAAUGAGCCAAGAAAGGACAAAUCUGGAUAACACACUGUAGCCUUGGUGAUGAGAAAGGAGAAAGGAAAGAUAAUGAAGAUGGGUAUCAUAUUGCUUUGCCUUGAAUUUGCAGAAAGAGAUAUUU
rnacentral:lncRNA from 10 species